CAGACCUUGAAACUGGUUUGGUCAGAUGAGACACAAAUACAAUAUCAGUAAGUGCAAGUCCUGAAUCAGAUGUCUACAAACAAGAUAAUUUACCAAAGUGACAAUACAAAAUAGCCAAGACAUACAUACUCUCUAAGUCAGCAAUGUUUUCAGUGUGGCUAUCGUUGCCUUACAUUUGAAAUUCACUUUGAAUUUUUGACAAAAAGUAAGGAAUGAGCUAGGUACUAACAAACACUCCUACAGGGGGUAAC